GAGCGUCAUUUGUACCCUCAAGCCUUGCUUGGUGUUGGGUGAUUGUCUAUCCGCUUGGUUAGACUCGCCUUAAAUUAAUUGGCAGCUGGUAUUCUGGUUUUAAGCGUAGCACAAUUACGGUUUUCUCUAGAGGGCCCGCAUCCACAAAGUACAUUAUCACGUUUGACCUCGGAUCAGGUAGGGAUACCCGCUGAACUUAA
rnacentral:misc_RNA from 1 species